GACGAACGCUGGCGGCGUGCCUAAUACAUGCAAGUCGAGCGAAGCGGCGGAUGGGUUAGUAACGCGUGGGUAACCUGCCCUUAAGUCUGGGAUCCCAUUUGUACACAGAUGCUAAUACCGGAUCCUAAAGGAUGGACAUGCGAUGCAUUAGCUAGUUGGUAAGGUAACGGCUUACCAAGGCGAUGACGCAUAGCCGAGUGGAGAGACUGAUCGGCAAAAUGGGGACUGAGACACGGACCAAACUCCUACGGGAGGCAGCAGUAGGGAAUCUUCCACAAUGGACGAAAGUCUGAUGGAGCAACGCCGCGUGAGUGAAGAAGGUUUUCGGAUCGUAAAGCUCUGUUGUUGGGGAAGCGGUAAUCAACCAGAAAGGCACGGCUAACGACGUGCCAGCAGCCGCGGUAAUAC
rnacentral:rRNA from 1 species